CGACGGCGCUUGCGUAGGGAGGAGCGGUGCGUUUCGGGACUUGUAGUUUUCCCGACGGGGUUGUGGGAGUCGUGGUUUGUCAGCACCCGGCCGGGAGGCUCCGCCGCCUUGAGUUAUCAGAACGCCCAGCUCGUUGGACCUGGCCUUCUAGCUGCCUCUCAGACUUGUGCCUACAGGUUGCCCUGGUCAGAAGUGAACUCACAGCUGGGUGGACAUGAACUGGAAGCAAAAACCCUGAUCCUUUGCCUGGCCUUUGCGGGAGUGAAAAUGUACCAAAGGAAAAGCCUGGAAGCCAAACUGCAAGCCGAAAAGAAGCAGCCAUCAGAGAAGAAAGAGACCUGAAGGGACAUCAGAGAUUUUUCUAU